GAGUUUGAUCCUGGCUCAGGACGAACGCUGGCGGCGUGCUUAACACAUGCAAGUCGAACGGAGUAUUCACGAAAGAGGUUUCGGCCAAUGGAGUGAAUUACUUAGUGGCGGACUGGUGAGUAACGCGUGAGGAACCUGCCUUUCAGUGGGGGGACAACAGUUGGAAACGACUGCUAAUACCGCAUAACACAUUUGAGGGACAUCCCUUGAAUGUCAAAGAUUUAUUGCUGAAAGAUGGCCUCGCGUCUGAUUAGCUAGUUGGUGAGGUAACGGCCCACCAAGGCGACGAUCAGUAGCCGGACUGAGAGGUUGACCGGCCACAUUGGGACUGAGAUACGGCCCAGACUCCUACGGGAGGCAGCAGUGGGGAAUAUUGGGCAAUGGACGAAAGUCUGACCCAGCAACGCCGCGUGAAGGAAGAAGGCUUUCGGGUGUAAACUUCUUUAAGGGGGAAGAGUAGAAGACGGUACCCCUUGAAUAAGCCACGGCUAACUACGUGCCAGCAGCCGCGGUAAG
rnacentral:rRNA from 1 species